UCCAGCCUGGCUCUACGGCCCUGUCUCCCCUCUGCCCACCUCUCGGUGCCUGCGAGCCAGACAGUGUGCCGCGCCCAUGCUCCGCACUGCCCCCUGGGGUGUGAGCAAGGUGAUCCUCGACAAGCUGAUCCAGUCUGCCAACAUCCAGCAGCUGAGGGGCAGCAUCCACAACAUGGACUUCCUGGGCAUCUCUCUCACGCCUGGGAGCAGGCAGCUGCGACCCGAGAGGAAGGUGCGGCCGGAGUCCACCUACCUGCUUUCCCGCUGGACCCCCAGGCUCAAGGACGUCA